rnacentral:rRNA from 1 species
UACGUAGGGUGCAAGCGUUAAUCGGAAUUACUGGGCGUAAAGCGUGCGCAGGCGGUUCUAUAAGCCAGAUGUGAAAUCCCCGGGCUCAACCUGGGAACUGCAUUUGUGACUGUAGAGCUGGAGUACGGCAGAGGGGGAUGGAAUUCCGCGUGUAGCAGUGAAAUGCGUAGAUAUGCGGAGGAACACCGAUGGCGAAGGCGAUCCCCUGGGCCUGUACUGACGCUCAUGCACGAAAGCGUGGGGAGCAAACAGG